UAGGUAUUCAAAAAAUAAAGUCAUUCCCUUUUAUCUAUAAUUGUGACUUGAAUAUUGAAUGACUAGAAAUUAAUCAAAAAGUAGCGGCGAGCGAAAAUGGGGUUGUGGGAGAGCUAUACAAGUGUCAUGCUGCUAGAAGAAGCGAUGGAGUGUUGCACCCUAGAUGACGAGAGUACAGUAGCCGAAAGCAUCACUAGCUUAUGCUAUGACUCGAGUAGCGUGGAGCACGUGGAACCUCAUGUGAAUCAACAAUGACCACCUUGCAAAGCUAAAUACUCAUGAGUGACCUAUAGUGAAGUAGUAUUAUGAAGGAAU